rnacentral:lncRNA from 1 species
GAGUAUACAGUAUUAACUAAUGACUAUACUCAAAUCCUACCUUCAGUCGAAAUACUACUUCCGCAUUUUCUCAAAUUCUAAAACAAAACAUUGUAUAACAAUAACCAAACUCUUGGCAUCAGUUUUGUUCUUGGUUGAGUCGAAAUACUACUCCACCUUCUCAAGUAACCAUCGUCCGCCCUCAGCCCAAAAAAAACCCCAUUUUCAAUUUCUCAUCUCAUAUCUCAUAUAUAAACCACUUUCUGUUUCUUCCUCAAACCACCUUCUCUUCUUUCGUUUUUAAUUUAUUUUUGCUGUAGUAAAGCCAUGACGAAUUUCUGGGUACUAACUAAAAUCACAGUCAGACUGGUUUGGAUUCAUGGAUUAGCAGCGUCACGGAGAAUCUUUAAUGCUUCCAUCAACUCAGCUAUUAUAAUAGCUAAUGGAGCAAUCAUUUUCCUCG